rnacentral:misc_RNA from 1 species
AAAAUCGGCUAAUGAGUUCGUCUGGAAUAUAUUAAAGUAUGCCAGUAUGAAGAAAGAUGUCAACUAGAAAUGUCAAGUAAAAAUAAAAUUGACAUCGAUAAAAAUGUAUUGAAGCGGUUACAACAGAAAUUGAUAGAAAUUCAAUGAGUGGAAGUCGUUCUAGCUCGAGGAAUGGAUCAACUAGUCCAACAAAUAACUUUGACCGAAGAAGUUCAAACCUCCAAUCUGAUGAACAGCAAUUAUCGU